GAUGAACGCUGGCGGCGUGCCUAAUACAUGCAAGUCGAGCGAACGGACGAGAAGCUUGCUUCUCUGAUGUUAGCGGCGGACGGGUGAGUAACACGUGGAUAACCUACCUAUAAGACUGGGAUAACUUCGGGAAACCGGAGCUAAUACCGGAUAAUAUUUUGAACCGCAUGGUUCAAAAGUGAAAGACGGUCUUGCUGUCACUUAUAGAUGGAUCCGCGCUGCAUUAGCUAGUUGGUAAGGUAACGGCUUACCAAGGCAACGAGGCAUAGCCGACCUGAGAGGGUGAUCGGCCACACUGGAACUGAGACACGGUCCAGACUCCUACGGGAGGCAGCAGUAGGGAAUCUUCCGCAAUGGGCGAAAGCCUGACGGAGCAACGCCGCGUGAGUGAUGAAGGUCUUCGGAUCGUAAAGCUCUGUUAUUGGGGAAGAACAUAUGUGUAAGUAACUGUGCACAUCUUGACGGUACCUAAUCAGAAAGCAACGGCUAACUACGUG
rnacentral:rRNA from 1 species